rnacentral:rRNA from 1 species
UGAGUAAUGUCUGGGAAACUGCCUGAUGGAGGGGGAUAACUACUGGAAACGGUAGCUAAUACCGCAUAACGUCGCAAGACCAAAGAGGGGGACCUUCGGGCCUCUUGCCAUCAGAUGUGCCCAGAUGGGAUUAGCUAGUAGGUGGGGUAACGGCUCACCUAGGCGACGAUCCCUAGCUGGUCUGAGAGGAUGACCAGCCACACUGGAACUGAGACACGGUCCAGACUCCUACGGGAGGCAGCAGUGGGGAAUAUUGCACAAUGGGCGCAAGCCUGAUGCAGCCAUGCCGCGUGUAUGAAGAAGGCCUUCGGGUUGUAAAGUACUUUCAGCGGGGAGGAAGGUGUUGAGGUUAAUAACCUCAGCAAUUGACGUUACCCGCAGAAGAAGCACCGGCUAACUCCGUGCCAGCAGCCGCGGUAAUACGGAGGGUGCAAGCGUUAAUCGGAAUUACUGGGCGUAAAGCGCACGCAGGCGGUCUGUCAAGUCGGAUGUGAAAUCCCCGGG